UAGAACAGCUCUUCAGAUGUGUGGUACUCUAAGUGUUCCUGUAAAGUAUUUCUAUCACAAACACACUCGCAUGGAAAGGCAUCCACAUGCCAGGCAGAGCCAGUGCCACGAUUCUUCCCCGGUAAAUAGAUGUGGCCCUUCUCUAUUCACUGCAGUGUCAGGCUGCAUUUCUUCCCCUCCUUGCCAGGUCAGAGGAGCCCUGACAACAGGGAGGUGUUCUCCAAGACGGCUGUACUGCUUAAAAGAGAGUAAGCUGCUAUAUUUAGAAGAACAGAUGGUUUGCACUUUCAACAUUCAGUGAAAUACCCAACAGUCAGAGGAGGAGAUGGCCAGGUUCAACACAGCUUUGGUACCAAAACAUUUAUUGGCAAGUCCUACAGGAGGGUUAUCAUCUACUCAGCUGGAUAUAACAUACAGUUCAGGAACAAUAGGUAAGCCCUGAAACCACAAAAAUCUUUUCAUUUCUAAAACCAGGCAAUUAAGCUGACAAUUUACAGGGGGAACAGCAAUAGCUGAAUUAAACAUUGCAAGAUGAAACCUUUGCUGGUAAUGAAAGAAGUUGAUAUUUUAUUCUGAGAUGCUGCUGAGAUUGUACAGCUGUAUUAUUAAAAUAAACAGCUCAAAGGUGCAACAUAUUAUGAACCCUUUGGGCGUGAUCCUUCCCUCCUUUGCAUCCUAUUUGCACAACAGAAAAUGGCCAUUGGAUACUCCCUGGGUGCUGGGAUUAAACAAAGACCCUGCUGAUGUUUGGGCCUUGGAUUUACACACUCUCCAUGCUGUUGUCAUCUUUUAGCACUUGCAGGGAAACUUGUAGACAAGUUGAAUUCAGGUGCCUUUCCCCAGCCAUGCUCCUUUCUAGUUUAACUACAAGCAGCAAGUCUGUGCUUGCUCAGGUUUGGAAUAAGUUCUCCCAGAUAAUAUUUUCUCUAAUAAAAAUCGCUUAUUAUAGCUUUAGGUGAGAAGAACUGCCAUGUAGUUUGAGCACAAGCUCAUAACAAGAUGACUGUGAAAAGCAGAAAUUUAUUUGGACAGUGAGGGGACAAGUGUUGGUGCA